rnacentral:sRNA from 1 species
GCUUCGCAGUCUGGAGGGCUCCUCCUCCCAACCUUCAGUCUGCAAGUCUCUGCGCUUCGCGCGUGGAGUUUCAAAAAACACCUGCCGGGACCUCCUCCCUCCGGCAGGUGUUUUUU